rnacentral:lncRNA from 1 species
AUUCACUUGCACAUACAAGCGUGCUUCUUCUCUAUUCUUUCUCUCUCUCUCUCUCUCUCUCUCUCUCUCUCUCUCUCUCUCUCAGAAUGAUGGCUCUGGGUAGAGCUUUCGCUAUAGUUUUCUGCUUAAUUCAAGCUGUUUCUGGAGAAAGUGGAAAUGCCCAGGAUGGUGAGUCAUUUCUAACUCCUUUUUUAAAGGAUUUCAGAUUACCUGUAGCAUAUAUGAUCAAGUUACACAGUUCUCUAACAGGGCAAGCAAGAAUUUAGCACUAAUUAGGUUGUUUUGUGGGUAUUAAUCACCAGGACAGAGGGAAUGAUGACAAUACUGCAAAUGGCUUGUAACUCUCAAGAACUGUCAAGAAGCAUUGAGUUUCAUUCAAAUUCUGGCUCAUAAAUGUGGAUGUAUGCUGGUAAUUUCAAAAAAGAAACCUCAUAUCAGUUCUUUGUUGGAGCUUUUUGGAUGAUCGCUUCCAAAACUGUAUUAGACUGAAAAAUCAAGCCAUUGUUGUUUUGACUGUUUAUGGAGUUCUAAAACCCUAGAUACCCAUGAUAAAUUAAUGGCCAGAAACGAGAGGUUUGUGUAUUCACCAAAACUGUAUUUCUAGUGUCUAGAGUUUAGAAGUUACUCUAUAAUGUAUUUCUUCAACAUACUUUAGCUUUGGCAGAUUCAUGUUAGAUUGCUGAUGAAUAAUUCAGUAGUAUGCUAAGGAAGGUGUCUUCUUUGAAAUACACAGGGUUGCUUUUAUAUUCAGAGAAUCCAUUAUAUGGUCAUCAUAAUUCUCCUCAGAAUCCAUAAAAUACUUAGACCUUGACUUCUUAAAAAUAGGCAUUUUAAUUACAGGACUGUACUCAAACGUCUCUGGCAGACACAGCAGCUACAUGGAAUGUGAAUCUCCAAUUUGUUUCUACAAAUUAAUUAAACUGUUUUCAUACACACACACACACACACACACACACACACCAUUAAAAGGGGAAUGUGUGUGUGUGUGUCUUUGUGUAUGUGCGUGUGUGUGUGUGUGUGUGUGUGUGUGUGUGUGCAUCCUGCCUCUGGUUCCUGAGUGCUAGGAUUAAAGGCAGACACCACCAUGGCUGGCCUAUAUGUGCAUUCCUAAACUGGGUGCAGUAGUACAUCCCUGUAGUCCUGAAGCCUAAGAGGCUGAGACAGAAAAAUCAUCUUUGUUCCAGACCAGUUAAAGCUACAUUGCAUAAGCUUGUAUCAAAUACAUCUGUAUUUUCUUUAUGCACAGUAUCAAUACACAUCAGCCUAGCUCUGUAGUUUAGCUCUUCAGUCAAAUGCCUUUAGUUGUGCAUCCUAAGCUUAGAUAUUUGUGUGACUUUACUUUGUAAUCAGCAAGGAUGGAAAACCCUUGCAUGUUCUUAUGAAGAGAAUCAUCAGAGGAGUCACACUCUUCAGCAUGACGGAGCAUGAGUCACUUGGUGAGGGAGAGUCAUUAUCUCAUGUUAAAUGUGUGCAAAUAGCUGGCAGGAAGCACGAGAACCAUGCUGCUGUUUGGUACAAUCCUUUGCCCCUAUGCUUCCCUCUUGGCCAUGCUAUUUCUUAC